rnacentral:lncRNA from 12 species
CAGGCUACAUUGACUGGGCUAUAGCUCCCAUGUGUCAUUUUGCAACUCUUGUCCUGAUUUUCUAGGUAUAUGUGGGACUCUUCUAAACCUUUGUAUUCUGGGAAGGAAGAUAAACUACAGAACUGGACCAGUAAGGGAGUUGCAACUCUGCCAUGAGCAGGAUGCUGCUUGUGAAAUUAUGAAGCCACUUCUACGAGUGUGAGCUCUAGAGUCUAAGUGCCAUUGGGAGUAGGACCAAACUGGAAAACUUCUUGAGACUUGUAAGAGGAAUGGGAAGCAGUCAUAUUUUUCAAAUCCUCAGAGGCUCAGAGAAAGAAUGCAAGUUCCAACAAGGAGGAUUUUGUUCCCUAAGUCCUGACGUUUUACAGCAUCUGCAAGGCUUUGGAGAUGAACAGGGGAUUCGUGAAAAAGGAGUUUGUCUUCCGGAAGACCCAAUUUUACUGGACAUAAAAAGCUUCUUGAAAGAGCUUAAAAAACACAAUACAGCAAGAAGCUGUUUGAAUUGAAACAUCAUGCCUCUGGUUCCUGCUAAGCAUCUCUUUGACAUACGAAGUAAUCAAGACCUUCUGGUGAAACCAGUUCCCUCAUCAGGGUUGAACAUGAUUGAUGGUGAUGUGAGGCUGCUUUGCUCAUGGAAUUUCAAGGAGCUAUGGCAUGUUUAUGCUAAAAGGUGAGGUCACUCUAAUCCCCAAAGAAUCUGACUCCCAGCACAGUAAGUGUCUGGGACAUAAAACUGGUAUUUGAUAACUUUUUAUUAAAGCAAUAAAUGAAUGAAUCUAUGGAAGACUGAAUGAGUU